AUGCAAGUCGAACGAUGAAGAAAAGAAUUGAAGCUUCGGCAGAAAUUCAUUUCGGAUUAGUGGCAGACGGGUGAGUAACGCGUGAGCAACCUACCUCUUACAAAGGGAUAGCCUCGGGAAACCGGGAUUAAUACCAUAUAACAUUGCGACGAAGCAUUUCGAUGCAAUCAAAGCUACGGCGGUAAGAGAUGGGCUCGCGUCCCAUUAACCGGAUGGUGAGGUAACGGCUCACCAUAGUAACGAUGGGUAACCGGCCUGAGAGGGUGAACGGUCACACUGGAACUGAGACACGGUCCAGACUCCUACGGGAGGCAGCAGUGGGGAAUAUUGCACAAUGGAGGGAACUCUGAUGCAGCGACGCCGCGUGAGUGAUGAAGGAAUUCGUUUCGUAAAACUCUGUUCUAUGGGAAGAAAAGGACUGUACCAUAGGAGAAAGCUCCGGCUAAAUACGUGCCAGCAGCCGCGGUAAUACGUAUGGAGCGAGCGUUGUCCGGAAUUAUUGGGCGUAAAGGGUGCGCAGGCGGCUUUACAAGUUGGAUGUGAAAUAUUGUGGCUCAACCACAAACGUGCAUCCAAAACUGCAAAGCUUGAGUUAAGGAGAGGUAAGUGGAAUUCCUGGUGUAGCGGUGGAAUGCGUAGAUAUCAGGAGGAAUACCGGUGGCGAAGGCGACUUACUGGACUUAAACUGACGCUCAGGCACGAAAGCGUGGGGAGCAAACAGGAUUAGAUACCCUGGUAGUCCACGCCGUAAACGAUGAGUGCUAGGUGUUGGGGGUCAAACCUCGGUGCCGCAAGCAAACGCAAUAAGCACUCCGCCUGGGGAGUACGUGCACAAGCAUGAAACUCAAAGGAAUUGACGGGGACCCGCACAAGCAGCGGAGCAUGUGGUUUA
rnacentral:rRNA from 1 species